rnacentral:rRNA from 1 species
AUUGAACGCUGGCGGCAUGCUUUACACAUGCAAGUCGAACGGUAACAGGCCGCAAGGUGCUGACGAGUGGCGAACGGGUGAGUAAUGCAUCGGAACGUGCCCAGUCGUGGGGGAUAACUACUCGAAAGAGUAGCUAAUACCGCAUACGAUCUAUGGAUGAAAGCGGGGGACCGUAAGGCCUCGCGCGAUUGGAGCGGCCGAUGUCAGAUUAGGUAGUUGGUGGGGUAAAGGCUCACCAAGCCAACGAUCUGUAGCUGGUCUGAGAGGACGACCAGCCACACUGGGACUGGGACACGGCCCAGACUCCUACGGGAGGCAGCAGUGGGGAAUUUUGGACAAUGGGCGCAAGCCUGAUCCAGCAAUGCCGCGUGCAGGAAGAAGGCCUUCGGGUUGUAAACUGCUUUUGUACGGAACGAAACGGCUCUGGUUAAUACCCGGGGCUAAUGACGGUACCGGAAGAAUAAGCACCGGCUAACUACGUG